rnacentral:lncRNA from 1 species
CAACUAAUGCAGAUAUAUUUGAAUCAGCAAAUGCCAUUGUUGCACAUUUUCCUUCAGAAAAGCUUGAAACAUGGUAUACUGCACCUACAUUUAAAAAAAGUAUAGCUGGUGGAAAGCUGACAGAAAAGCUUCGCAACACUUGGCGAAAUAUUAAACCGGUUGGGAUUUUAAAAAGUUCAAAUGAUCAAUAAUUAGUUGAAGAACACGAUAGCAGUGAUGAAGAAGCAGUACAAGAUGACCUUAAUUGGCUAAAGUUUAACAGUCAACCAUGGACUGAAGUGUGC